CCCUUAGAUGCUCUGGGCCGCACGCGCGCUACACUGGUCGAUGCAACGAGUUUCCUUCCUUGGCCGACAGGCCUGGGCAAUCUUUGAACAUCGAUCGUGAUCGGGAUAGAUUCUUGUAAUUUUUGAUCUUAAACGAGGAAUUCCUAGUAAACGCAAGUCAUCAGCUUGCAUUGAUUACGUCCCUGCCCUUUGUACACACCGCCCGUCGCACCUACCGAUUGAAUGGUCCGGUGAAAUCUCCGGACUGGCGUGAGUCGGAGCAAUCUGACAAACGCCGGAAAGUUGAUUAAACCUUACCAUUUAGAGGAAGGUGAAGUCGUAACA
rnacentral:rRNA from 1 species